GCCUGGCUGGCUCAGUCGGUGAAGCGUCUAAGUUCAGCUCAGAUCAUGAUGUCGCCGUUCGUGGGUUCGAGCCCCGUGUCGGGCU
rnacentral:tRNA from 1 species